rnacentral:snRNA from 1 species
AUACUUACCUGGACGGGGUCAAUGGGCGAUCAAGAAGACUCAUGGCCUGGGCUAGUGACCUCCAUUGCACUUCGGAGGGGUGCUUGCUUAAGGUCUCCCCAAGAGGGAGAGCCUACGUCAUAAUUUGUUGCAAGGGGGUUUGCGUUCGCGCAGCCCCCAC